rnacentral:rRNA from 1 species
CGGGACACGUGGUAUCCUGUCUGAAUAUGGGGGGACCAUCCUCCAAGGCUAAAUACUCCUGACUGACCGAUAGUGAACCAGUACCGUGAGGGAAAGGCGAAAAGAACCCCGGCGAGGGGAGUGAAAAAGAACCUGAAACCGUGUACGUACAAGCAGUGGGAGCACAGAGCAAUCUGUGUGACUGCGUACCUUUUGUAUAAUGGGUCAGCGACUUAUAUUCUGUAGCAAGGUUAACCGAAUAGGGGAGCCGAAGGGAAACCGAGUCUUAACUGGGCGUUAAGUUGCAGGGUAUAGACCCGAAACCCGGUGAUCUAGCCAUGGGCAGGUUGAAGGUUGGGUAACACUAACUGGAGGACCGAACCGACUAAUGUUGAAAAAUUAGCGGAUGACUUGUGGCUGGGGGUGAAAGGCCAAUCAAACCGGGAGAUAGCUGGUUCUCCCCGAAAGCUAUUUAGGUAGCGCCUCGUGAAUUCAUCUCCGGGGGUAGAGCACUGUUUCGGCAAGGGGGUCAUCCCGACUUACCAACCCGAUGCAAACUGCGAAUACCGGAGAAUGUUAUCACGGGAGACACACGGCGGGUGCUAACGUCCGUCGUGAAGAGGGAAACAACCCAGACCGCCAGCUAAGGUCCCAAAGUCAUGGUUAAGUGGGAAACGAUGUGGGAAGGCCCAGACAGCCAGGAUGUUGGCUUAGAAGCAGCCAUCAUUUAAAGAAAGCGUAAUAGCUCACUGGUCGAGUCGGCCUGCGCGGAAGAUGUAACGGGGCUAAACCAUGCACCGAAGCUGCGG